rnacentral:rRNA from 1 species
UUUAUUGGAGAGUUUGAUCCUGGCUCAGGAUGAACGCUGGCGGCGUGCCUAAUACAUGCAAGUCGAGCGAAUGGAUUGAGAGCUUGCUCUCAAGAAGUUAGCGGCGGACGGGUGAGUAACACGUGGGUAACCUGCCCAUGAGACUGGGAUAACUCCGGGAAACCGGGGCUAAUACCGGAUAACAUUUUGAACUGCAUGGUUCGAAAUUGAAAGGCGGCU